rnacentral:misc_RNA from 1 species
GAUACAUUGAACAUUCAACUUCCAUUUUCAUAUUACCUUUGUGUUGUGACGUAAAUUGAUGUACAAAAAGAAUAUAUGGACUAUUUCAUGUACAAAUAAAAUAGCAAAAGAAAUUAGAUCCUCAAAGUCAAAAACUGAUAUGAAAUAAUUUCAUGUUGCGGCGUCAUGUCAGUGAUUUUUGCCAGGGUAACUUGCCAGUGUUUGGGUCGGUGAACAUCUCUGCUACUCGAUCUUUUAGGCCAGUGUCAGUAACUUCACAAAAUCGACUAGACCAAUCUGGUGGUUCAACGGCUCGUGUCCCUAAACCAGGGGCACGAUCCCUGGACCCAACAUUUCUCUGUUGUUGCCAAUCAGAAACAUAA